UGCCGAAAUAGGAUGCAACAGUUCAGUCCACAGAGCAUGAGACUCUUAAUCUCAGGGCUGUGGGUUUGAACCCCACAUUGGGCAA